rnacentral:rRNA from 1 species
UACGAGGGGAGCAAGCGUUGUUCGGAUUUACUGGGCGUAAAGGGCGCGUAGGCGGUCGUGACAAGUCACUUGUGAAAUCUCCGGGCUUAACUCGGAACGGUCAAGUGAUACUGUCGGACUAGAGUACAGAAGGGGCAACUGGAAUUCUCGGUGUAGCGGUGAAAUGCGUAGAUAUCGAGAGGAACACCUGCGGCGAAGGCGGGUUGCCGGGCUGAUACUGACGCUGAUGCGCGAAAGCCAGGGGAGCGAACGGG